UGGACGAAGUCUGACGGAGCAACGCCGCGUGAGUGAUGAAGGUUUUCGGAUCGUAAAACUCUGUUGUUAGGGAAGAACAAGUACCGUUCGAAUAGGGCGGUACCUUGACGGUACCUAACCAGAAAGCCACGGCUAACUACGUGCCAGCAGCCGCGGUAAUACGUAGGUGGCAAGCGUUGUCCGGAAUUAUUGGGCGUAAAGCGCGCGCAGGUGGUUUCUUAAGUCUGAUGUGAAAGCCCACGGCUCAACCGUGGAGGGUCAUUGGAAACUGGGGAACUUGAGUGCAGAAGAGGAAAGUGGAAUUCCAAGUGUAGCGGUGAAAUGCGUAAAUAUUUGGAGGAACACCAGUGGCGAAGGCGACUUUCUGGUCUGUAACUGACACUGAGGCGCGAAAGCGUGGGGAGCAAACAGGAUUAAAUACCCUGGUAGUCCACGCCGUAAACGAUGAGUGCUAAGUGUUAGGGGGUUUCCGCCCCUUAGUGCUGCAGCUAACGCAUUAAGCACUCCGCCUGGGGAGUACGGUCGCAAGACUGAAACUCAAAGGAAUUGACGGGGGCCCGCACAAGCGGUGGAGCAUGUGGUUUAAUUCGAAGCAACGCGAAGAACCUUACCAGGUCUUGACAUCCUCUGACAACCCUAGAGAUAGGGCUUUCCCCUUCGGGGGACAGAGUGACAGGUGGUGCAUGGUUGUCGUCAGCUCGUGUCGUGAGAUGUUGGGUUAAGUCCCGCAACGAGCGCAACCCUUGAUCUUAGUUGCCAGCAUUCAGUUGGGCACUCUAAGAUGACUGCCGGUGACAAACCGGAGGAAGGGUGGGGGAUGACGUCAAA
rnacentral:rRNA from 1 species